ACUGUACUCCCUCUGUCUGAAAAUACUUCUAGAAGAAAUGAAUGUAUCUAGACAUUUUAGUUUUAGAUAUAUCCAUUUUGAUUCAUUUCUCCGACAAGUAUUUCCGAACGAAGGGAGUAUUUA
rnacentral:pre_miRNA from 1 species